rnacentral:rRNA from 1 species
CCUACGAGUGGCAGCAGUGAGGAAUAUUGGUCAAUGGGCGUAAGCCUGAACCAGCCAAGUCGCGUGAGGGCUGAAGGUUCUAUGGAUCGUAAACCUCUUUUAUAAGGGAAUAAAGUGCGGGACGUGUCCCGUUUUGUAUGUACCUUAUGAAUAAGGCUCGGCUAACUCCGUGCCAGCAGCCGCGGUCAUACGGAGGAUCCGAGCGUUCUCCGGAUUUAUUGGGUUUAAAGGGUGCGUAGGCGGCCUUUUAAGUCAGCGGUGAAAGUCUGUGGCUCAACCAUAGAAUUGCCGUUGAAACUGGGAGGCUUGAGUAUGUGUGAGGCAGGCGGAAUGCGUGGUGUAGCGGUGAAAUGCUUAGAUAUCACGCAGAACCCCGAUUGCGAAGGCAGCUUGCCAAGCCAUGACUGACGCUGAUGCACGAAAGCGUGGGGAUCAAACAGGAUUAGAGACCCUUGUAGUC